rnacentral:rRNA from 1 species
UACAGAGGUCUCAAGCGUUGUUCGGAUUUAUUGGGCGUAAAGAGCUCGUAGGCGGCUUGUCGCGUCGAAUGUGAAAACCCACGGCUCAACUGUGGGCUUGCAUUCGAUACGGGCAGGCUAGAGUUCGGUAGGGGAGACUGGAAUUCCUGGUGUAGCGGUGAAAUGCGCAGAUAUCAGGAGGAACACCGGUGGCGAAGGCGGGUCUCUGGGCCGAUAUUGACGCUGAGGAGCGAAAAGCGUGGGGGAGCGAACAGG